rnacentral:lncRNA from 1 species
CAAAAUUUUUCCGGUUUCCUGCCCCGAAUCCGUCUCGGAUCGUAAAACUUACCCUGUUUCCUGCCCCGAAUUCGUUUAUUUUCUCCCAUUUACUGCUCCCGUCGGGGCGGAUCGGGGAGGGAGCUCCACCAACACGGAUCCGUUUGCAUCCCUGCGCCUCGCUGUCCUCCACUGCCUCGCUCUCGCCCACAUCCUCUUCGCCCUCCUCCGCCGCCUCGCUUUCGCCCUCGUUGCCCUUGCCUACUUCUCCAUCAACACCCACCUCGGUUACCUCCCUACUGUCGUCAAAAUCGAGGGACGGUGAGAGUGCAGGAGGAGAAGGGGAGCAGGUGGAGAAGGAAAUGGAGAGAAAUCACGGCCGAUUGAGGUGGGAAUUGCGGCCGAUCGAAGAGGCGGUUGAGGAAGAAUAAGAAGAAGACGAAAAUGGCGAGGGGCAAAAUGGUCAAUUUACACACCGUAAUCUUCCUGUAAAUAUUUUUUAUUUUACAAGGGGGCAAAGUGUUUGUUUUUAAAUGACAGGAGGGAAGUGAAAAAAUGGGUAAUUACAGGAGGUUUUCUGUAAUUUAGCCUAUAUUUUAUAAUAAUAAUAAUAAUAUAUUCUCACAAACUCUAUAAUUCAAUCCACUGAAAUUCAACCUUUUUAAUAAAAUAAUUACAAGUCAUACCUACCCCCUUCUACUCCUCGUUAUUUAUACUUCCCCACCAAUUAAAUUAUAAAUAAUAUUGCGUAUGCUGCUUUGUAAAAUGUUAUGCGUGUAUAUGGCAUUACUCUUGAAAUAAAGGGUUAAUUGCAUACAAGUCUCCGCAAAUAUAAUAAAUUACAAAUAUAUUUCUAUAAAGUUCAAUUUUUAUAAGUUAUCAUUUCAAAAGUACUAAUGUUUUCAGAUAUAUUCCUCAGGUUUGUUAUCAUUAGAGAACCGUUAGAAAACUAUUUAUAUUUUAAUUUUAUCAUUACAAAUAUAUUUCUUCAAAAGUUAUAGUAGUAUAAUAUAAGAGGGGUAAAAUGUUAACAAUUAAUCCGCAUAAAGUAUUUAACUUAUGAUUAACUAAACUUUUCUAACGGAUUCUAACGGCAAGAACAUAUCUAAAAAUAUUAAAACUUUUGAAGAGAUAACUUAUGAAAGUUGAAUUUUACAAGAAUAUAUCUGCAAUUUGCUAUGUUUGCAGGGACUUAUAUGCAAUUGACCCAAUAAACUUAAAU